rnacentral:rRNA from 1 species
UGGGGAAUAUUGCACAAUGGGCGCAAGCCUGAUGCAGCCAUGCCGCGUGUAUGAAGAAGGCCUUCGGGUUGUAAAGUACUUUCAGCGAGGAGGAAGGCGCUGUGGUUAAUAACCGCAACGAUUGACGUUACUCGCAGAAGAAGCACCGGCUAACUCCGUGCCAGCAGCCGCGGUAAUACGGAGGGUGCAAGCGUUAAUCGGAAUUACUGGGCGUAAAGCGCACGCAGGCGGUCUGUCAAGUCGGAUGUGAAAUCCCCGGGCUCAACCUGGGAACUGCAUCCGAAACUGGCAGGCUAGAGUCUUGUAGAGGGGGGUAGAAUUCCAGGUGUAGCGGUGAAAUGCGUAGAGAUCUGGAGGAAUACCGGUGGCGAAGGCGGCCCCCUGGACAAAGACUGACGCUCAGGUGCGAAAGCGUGGGGAGCAAACA